CUACUGUUGAUAGUAGGUCUAACAGUAUAUCUACUGUUGAUAGUAGGUCUAACAGUAUAUCUACUGUUGAUAGUAGGUCUAACAGUAUAUCUACUGUCUGUUGAUAGUAGGUCUAACAGUAUAUCUACUGUUGAUAGUAGGUCUAACAGUAUAU